AAACCUUGUCUGUGUCUCUCGGAACUUGAAGUAAAAACAUUAAGUUAUCAGUUUAAUAUCUGAUAUGUUCUUAAUUUGAGGACUGUAUAUUAAAUUGAUUUUUGAAACAGGGAGAUGGAAUAGGAGCUUGCUCUGUCCACCCCAUGCAUCGAACUGGUAUUGCAGUCAGGGCCAGCUCCAGACCCCAGCGU